rnacentral:rRNA from 2 species
ACCCACCUGAUUCCAUGCCGAACUCAGAAGUGAAACGAAUUAGCGCCGAUGGUAGUGUGGGGCUUCCCCAUGUGAGAGUAGGACAUCGCCAGGC